rnacentral:rRNA from 1 species
UACGUAGGGUGCGAGCGUUAAUCGGAAUUACUGGGCGUAAAGCGUGCGCAGGCGGUUCGUUGUGUCGGCGGUGAAAUCCCCGGGCUCAACCUGGGAAUGGCCGUUGAAACUGGCGAACUGGAGUGUGGCAGAGGGGGGGUAGAAUUCCACGUGUAGCAGUGAAAUGCGUAGAGAUGUGGAGGAACACCGAUGGCGAAGGCAGCCCCCUGGGUCAAGAUUGACGCUACAUGCACGAAAGCGUGGGGAGCAAACAGG